rnacentral:rRNA from 1 species
GAUGAACGCUGGCGGCGUGCUUAACACAUGCAAGUCGAACGAUGAAGCCCAGCUUGCUGGGCGGAUUAGUGGCGAACGGGUGAGUAACACGUGAGUAAACUGCCCUCGACUCUGGGAUAAGACCGGGAAACUGGGUCUAAUACCGGAUAGGAGCGCCUGUCGCAUGACGGGUGCUGGAAAGAUCUUUCGGUCAUGGAUGGACUCGCGGCCUAUCAGCUUGUUGGUGAGGUAACGGCUCACCAAGGCGACGACGGGUAGCCGGCCUGAGAGGGUGACCGGCCACACUGGGACUGAGACACGGCCCAGACCCCUACGGGAGGCAGCAGUGGGGAAUAUUGCACAAUGGGCGAAAGCCUGAUGCAGCGACGCCGCGUGAGGGAUGACGGCCUUCGGGUUGUAAACCUCUUUCAGCAGGGAAGAAGCGAAAGUGACGGUACCUGCAGAAGAAGCACCGGCUAACUACGUG